AGAGUUUGAUCCUGGCUCAGGACGAACGCUGGCGGCGUGCCUAACACAUGCAAGUCGAACGGAAAAUUGAGCUUCGGUUCAAUUUUUAGUGGCGAACGGGUGAGUAACGCGUAGGCAACCUGCCCUUUAGACGGGGACAACAUUCCGAAAGGGAUGCUAAUACCGGAUGUGACGCUCCUAUCGCAUGGCGGGAGCGUGAAAGAUGGCCUCUACAUGUAAGCUAUCGCUAAAGGAUGGGCCUGCGUCUGAUUAGCUAGUUGGUAGUGUAACGGACAACCAAGGCGAUGAUCAGUAGCCGGUCUGAGAGGAUGAACGGCCACAUUGGGACUGAGACACGGCCCAGACUCCUACGGGAGGCAGCAGUGGGGAAUCUUCCGCAAUGGGCGAAAGCCUGACGGAGCAACGCCGCGUGAGUGAAGAAGGUCUUCGGAUUGUAAAGCUCUGUUGUACAUGACGAAUGUGCCGGUUGUGAAUAAUGGCUGGUAAUGACGGUAGUGUACGAGGAAGCCACGGCUAACUACGUGCCAGCAGCCGCGGU
rnacentral:rRNA from 1 species